rnacentral:rRNA from 1 species
GAAAGCCCACGGCUCANCCGUGGAGGGUCAUUGGAAACUGUUAAACUUGAGUGCAGGAGAGAAAAGUGGAAUUCCUAGUGUAGCGGUGAAAUGCGUAGAGAUUAGGAGGAACACCAGUGGCGAAGGCGGCUUUUUGGCCUGUAACUGACACUGAGGCGCGAAAGCGUGGGGGGCAAACAGGAUUAGAUACCCUGGUAGUNCACGCCGUAAACGAUGAGUGCUAAGUGUUGGUCUCAUAAGAGAUCAGUGCUGCAGCUAACGCAUUAAGCACUCCGCCUGGGGAGUACGACCGCAAGGUUGAAACUCAAAGGAAUUGACGGGGACCCGCACAUGCGGUGGAGCAUGUGGUUUAAUUCGAAGCAACGCGAAGAACCUUACCAAGUCUUGACAUACUGUGAGGACACAAGAGAUUGUGUUGUUCUGACCUUUGGUUAGACACAGAUACAGGUGGUGCAUGGUUGUCGUCAGCUCGUGUCGUGAGAUGUUGGGUUAAGUCCCGCAACGAGCGCAACCCUCAUAUCUAGUUGCCAGCAGUAAGAUGGGGACUCUAGAUAGACUGCCAGUGAUAAACUGGAGGAAGGUGGGAUGACGUCAAAUCAUCAUGCCCCUUAUGACUUGGGCUACACACGUGCUACAAUGGAUAGGAACAAAGAGAAGCGAGCUCGCGAGAGUAAGCAAACCUCACAAAACUAUUCUCAGUUCGGAUUGUAGUCUGCAACUCGACUACAUGAAGCUGGAAUCGCUAGUAAUCGCGAAUCAGAAUGUCGCGGUGAAUACGUUCCCGGGUCUUGUACACACCGCCCGUCACACCACGAGAGUUUGUAACACCC